UACGGAGGGUGCAAGCGUUAUCCGGAUUCACUGGGUUUAAAGGGUGCGUAGGCGGCUAAUUAAGUCAAUGGUGAAAGCUCGCAGCUUAACUGUGAAACUGCCAUUGAUACUGGUUGGCUUGAGUACGAUUGAUGUGGGCGGAAUACAUCAUGUAGCGGUGAAAUGCUUAGAUAUGAUGUAGAACACCGAUUGCGAAGGCAGCUCACAAAAUCGCAACUGACGCUGAGGCACGAAAGCGUGGGGAGCAAACAGG
rnacentral:rRNA from 1 species